rnacentral:rRNA from 1 species
GCUUCGGCGUGUGACUGCGUACCUUUUGUAUAAUGGGUCAGCGACUUAUAUUCUGUAGCAAGGUUAACCGAAUAGGGGAGCCGAAGGGAAACCGAGUCUUAACUGGGCGUUAAGUUGCAGGGUAUAGACCCGAAACCCGGUGAUCUAGCCAUGGGCAGGUUGAAGGUUGGGUAACACUAACUGGAGGACCGAACCGACUAAUGUUGAAAAAUUAGCGGAUGACUUGUGGCUGGGGGUGAAAGGCCAAUCAAACCGGGAGAUAGCUGGUUCUCCCCGAAAGCUAUUUAGGUAGCGCCUCGUGAAUUCAUCUCCGGGGGUAGAGCACUGUUUCGGCAAGGGGGUCAUCCCGACUUACCAACCCGAUGCAAACUGCGAAUACCGGAGAAUGUUAUCACGGGAGACACACGGCGGGUGCUAACGUCCGUCGUGAAGAGGGAAACAACCCAGACCGCCAGCUAAGGUCCCAAAGUCAUGGUUAAGUGGGAAACGAUGUGGGAAGGCCCAGACAGCCAGGAUGUUGGCUUAGAAGCAGCCAUCAUUUAAAGAAAGCGUAAUAGCUCACUGGUCGAGUCGGCCUGCGCGGAAGAUGUAACGGGGCUAAACCAUGCACCGAAGCUGCGGCAGCGACGCUGAUGCGUUGUUGGGUAGGGGAGCGUUCUGUAAGCCUGUGAAGGUGUGCUGUGAGGCAUGCUGGAGGUAUCAGAAGUGCGAAUGCUGACAUAAGUAACGAUAAAGCGGGUGAAAAGCCCGCUCGCCGGAAGACCAAGGGUUCCUGUCCAACGUUAAUCGGGGCAGGGUGAGUCGACCCCUAAGGCGAGGCCGAAAGGCGUAGUCGAUGGGAAACAGGUUAAUAUUCCUGUACUUGGUGUUACUGCGAAGGGGGGACGGAGAAGGCUAUGUUGGCCGGGCGACGGUUGUCCCGGUUUAAGCGUGUAGGCUGGUUUUCCAGGCAAAUCCGGAAAAUCAAGGCUGAGGCGUGAUGACGAGGCACUACGGUGCUGAAGCAACAAAUGCCCUGCUUCCAGGAAAAGCCUCUAAGCAUCAGGUAACAUCAAAUCGUACCCCAAACCGACACAGGUGGUCAGGUAGAGAAUACCAAGGCGCUUGAGAGAACUCGGGUGAAGGAACUAGGCAAAAUGGUGCCGUAACUUCGGGAGAAGGCACGCUGAUAUGUAGGUGAAGUCCCUCGCGGAUGGAGCUGAAAUCAGUCGAAGAUACCAGCUGGCUGCAACUGUUUAUUAAAAACACAGCACUGUGCAAACACGAAAGUGGACGUAUACGGUGUGACGCCUGCCCGGUGC